rnacentral:tRNA from 1 species
GCGCCUAUAGCUCAGUUGGUAGAGCAGCAGCCUUUUAAGCUGAUGGUCGCAGGUCCGAAUCCUGCUGGGCGCA